rnacentral:lncRNA from 1 species
GCUGACCGCGCUCCCGCAGGCGCUGCUGGUGCCCGGGAAGAGCCCGUCCCGGCGGCGGCCCGGCCCGCUCGGCUCCCGCCGCUCCAGCGCCAUCGGCAUCGAGAGCAUCCAGGAGGCGCCGCCCGGCAGGGACGGCCCCGCCGCCAACACCGACGGCGCCGGCUCCGCGCACAGCUCCCCAGAGAGCCGCCGGCACCCGGACAGGGCGGAGAGGCCGGAGCCUCCGCGGGACUUCUCCCGCUCGUCCUCCAGCGCCAGCAGCUUCGGCAGCGUGGCCGAGGAGCCGGACGAGCACCCCGAGGCCGAG